ACCCUGGAUUCCCUGAUUCACUUGCUCACUUCUGUUCAAGGAUGUGAGGACAGCUGCUAGAACCUGACUCUCUUUUCUCACUUCUCUGUUGGAAUGUUGCUCUCGGUGUUUGAAAUAGAGCCAGCCAAUCAAUCCUGUUUUGAGACUCAAUUUCCACACUCUUUGUAAAUGCCCUCAGCCAUCUUUGAACGAUGUGCCUCUCAGAGGUGAAAUGGAGCAGCACGCUUGGAAAGACUUGGCGAAAUGAAGAAAAUAAAUGGCUCAAACAAAAUGCGCUGCAGUGGAGAGAUAAGAAAAGGACUGCCAAGAAGGCACUGCUCUGAAUUUCGACUUUACCCAGCAGAGUCUGCAGAGUUGAGCUGCUGAUGAAUG
rnacentral:lncRNA from 1 species